AUUGAACGCUGGCGGCAUGCCUUACACAUGCAAGUCGAACGGUAACGCGGGGCAACCUGGCGACGAGUGGCGAACGGGUGAGUAAUGCAUCGGAACGUGCCCGGUAGUGGGGGAUAACUGCUCGAAAGAGCAGCUAAUACCGCAUACGACCUGAGGGUGAAAGCGGGGGAUCGCAAGACAUCGCGCGAUGGGAGCGGCGGUGAACAGAUUAGGUAGGUGGUGGGGUAAAGGCUCACCAAGCCAACGAUCUGUAGCUGCUCUGAUGGGAUGACCGGCCACAAUGGGACGGGGGCACGGUCCAGACUCCUACGGGAGGCAGCAGUGGGGAAUUUUGGACAAUGGACGCAAGUCUGAUCCAGCCAUUCCGCGUGCAGGAUGAAGGCCCUCGGGUUGUAAACUGCUUUUGUACGGAACGAAAAGGUUUCCAUUAAUACUGGGGGCUCAUGACGGUACCGUAAGAAUAAGCACCGGCUAACUACGUGCCAGCAGCCGCCGUAAUAC
rnacentral:rRNA from 1 species